ACAUGGCGGACAGCAGUGAGGAAGAAGGGUCACUGUCACCAUCUACCCCCCUAAACCCUGACGGUCCACCCUCAGGGCCUAGGGUUGUGACUGUAGUAAAGACUGAGACAGGCUUCGGAUUUAAUGUACGAGGUCAGGUUAGCGAGGGUGGCCAACUACGGAGUAUAAACGGCGAACUAUACGCCCCCCUGCAACAUGUCAGUGCAGUUUUGGAGGGAGGUGCCGCGGAAAGAGCAGGCAUUUUGAAGGGGGACAGGAUUUUAGAAGUAAAUGGAGCAAAUGUUGAAGGGGCUACACACAAACAAGUUGUGGACUGCAUCAAGUCCGGUGGAGACAAACUGACACUUACAGUUAUAUCAGUGCCAAGGCAAGUUGCUGAAAAGUUAGAACCAAGCGAUGAAUCGUCAGGUCCGUCACUUAUAGAUUACUCAGAGAAGAGGACCUUACCCAUCUCAAUACCGGACUACCAGACGAUAGAACGAAUUGGAGAAAGAUUUGUGGUUUAUAAUAUAUACAUGGCCGGACGCCACUUGUGCUCAAGGAGAUAUCGAGAAUACGCCGACCUUCACAGGGCAUUGAAAAAAGAAUUCACCGAUUUCGUUUUUCCCAAGCUGCCUGGCAAGUGGCCUUUCCAGCUCUCGGAGCAGCAGCUAGAUGCCCGGAGGCGAGGAUUGGAACAGUAUUUGGAAAAAGUAUGCGCCGUCAGAGUUAUUGCAGAGUGCGAUAUUGUCCAGGAAUUUCUGUCGGCCUCGGAUGAUGAUUCGGCGAGUAAAGACUCUGGUGCAAGUGCUUCUCUUCAACCCUCCAACAGUUCGAACAAGAAUUGUAACUCUUCGAAUGAUGUUGAAUUAAAGGUGCUCCUCCCAGACAGAAAUGUGCUCACUGUCACAAUCAAGAAUUCAUACACUACGGACCAAGUGUUUGAGGCCGUCAUUGCCAAGUUGGGUAUGGACGAAGAAACUGCCAUGUAUUUUGCCCUCUUUGAAAUAGAAGAGUAUAACUUUGAACGUAAACUCCAGCCGAAUGAAUUCCCCCACAAUUUGUACAUACAGAACUAUAGUACUGCCACGGCAACGUGUAUCACUCUGAGGAAGUGGCUAUUCUCUCUGUCCAAAGAAACAGUCUUACACAAUAAUGAGGCAAUAGUUAACUUCUUGUUUUGGCAGGCGGUGGACGAUGUUAGUCGUGGCAAUAUUAAACCAGGCGAGAAGCUUUAUGAAUUAAAAAGUUUACAAGAGUCGGGCAAAAAACUAGAGUACCUCAAGAUGUGCCGGCAAAUUGAUGGUUAUGGGGAGAUAGCGUUUCCACAUUGUGCCUGUGAUUCACGAAAGGAUGGACAUGUGAUCGCUGUUUUUGGUGUAAAGAAUUUCAAACUGCAAGCAGCUAAAGAAGAUGGCACGCCAGAGUCACAAGUAAUAGAGUUUGCGUGGGAUGACAUCAAGCAGUUCGACAUCGAUGAAGAGGGGAUGAGUUUUAACUUUGAAUACGCGCGAGAAGGGAAGAGGUCGAGAUGGGUGAAAGUAUUCUCGCCUUAUUUCAACUAUAUGUAUGACUGUUUUGAGCGGAUUACAACUGAAAUCACUUGGGAAGAACAGGUCAGUGACUUGUGAGCAGAAUGGUUAAUCAUGGUAAUCUAACAACUGCUAGCUCCUCGCCAGAGCCUUUGACUGCCCAUCGUCCAGCGCGGCGGAGAGCACCGGAGGAUAACAGCAUCGGCGAUGGCGACCUGUAAAUAACUCGAGAAUCAAGAACUUUUAUACUGUAAUAUUCUGUGAUCGUGUGGCCUGAAACUUUCUGUGAAAUAAAUGCCUGCUUCAGGCCUUAGCCUGUCACCCCUACACAUCAAAAUCAGACGAGCCUUGUUUGGAACUGCAUUAUGGAUGGAGAAGUUCAUUUUAGAUAAAGAGGUGUGACAUGUUGGUUGUGAAGCAGAUCUUGGUCUUUUGGUAUGGUGUUAAAAGGAGUUGGAGUUCUGGUAGCCAUUUUCAUCUAGUAUCUCACACUUAUUUUGAAUUGUGGAAUCCGCAAUUGAAACUUUUAUUCAUUAUUUGAGUGAGAUGUGGAGGGGGGCAAAAUUAAUAUUUUGUGGAUUAUGACAUGAUUUGUGUAAAUGGCUGGUCCGGAAAAUUCCUUCAACUAGUUAGUUAGAUUCCAAUAAUAUGCUGUAUUUUUCAUCCAAAGGUCUGUGCUGUUGUUGAUUUUCGUUAGUUGAUCAGCUUGCCUGUUUUCAGACAUUAUGUGUCCCUGUCUUCAAUUUCUUUCUUUCCUCUAUCAAUCAAAAUACUCAUGUAUCUUAUAAUCACUAGUAGUCAAGAAGGAUGAACGGGAUAGAAAGAGGUUUGCAUUCAUUUGAAAUGGUUUUUUGAAAAAAAUUGGUACAUGUACUUUAAUGGAGGGGGCUGGGAGAACAGCCUACAAGCUCCUUGGAAGAUUUGAGUUUACUGUGGGCAUAAACUUAAUAAGUGCUGGGCUCUGGGUGGGUUCAAGACAGUUUGACAUAGCUGCCAGCUUCAUCCUAGCAGUCAGUUGAGUUUUAGGAUCAUAUUAACUGGAUAGACACUGUAUAUUUUCAUGUACCGGUAGGCUACACGUUGCAGUUGUGUUUCUUUGUUUAUCUUGUACAUGUAUGUAUCUAGAGCAUAUAUAUUUUCUUGAAAUGCUUUUUAUCGUCCAUUACAGUCUGAUGUACUCUGAUAUCUAUCAUAUAGUCAUAUUGACUGUAUCUAGGCGUCCUAUUGUUGAGUGAUUGUGAUUUGUCUCUUGUGUUCCAAAACGAACAAUUCGAAAUUUCUGAGUGCAUGAUGUCUUUUGUGGCUUCUAGAGGUGUGAGAUGACCUCAUCACAUCGAAAAAAAGAAGUCAUUUUGGAUGUCAUAUUCAUUCCAUUGACCCAUAUGGUGCAUCAACCCACACAUUAUCCACACAUUGUACACUUUGGCUAAGACUCCUCCAAGGACACAGAUUGACAUCCGAAACUUUAUAGUUCGUUGAGCUUGUUGAAGACUGGCCUGUACAUCAAACUCCUCGAGCGGUUCACUACACUCUUAUUGUUGUUAACAAUGCAGUCCUUGAUGUUUGAACUUGGUUAAUUUCACGUCAAUGUCUGGUCUGAUUAGAGUAACACACACAAGUUCUUGGUUCAUUGGCCACUGUGUGCCUUGAAGUGUAUGCCAUUUUUGAAUUGCCUGGCCUUGUGUUCAUGUUGACUAGCAGCAUUUGCAUAAUCAAUAUCUGGAAAUGAGUGACAGCCAGCAUGGAAUUCACCAACAGCCUUUAUAUUUACACUUGGUAUUACCAAGGUCUUAAUUGCACCUUUUGUUUAUGAUCAAAAAUAUAUUCAAUCGCAUGGCUUUACAUAUUAUAUUCAGAUCUUCAUUAUAGUAGCUAGCUAUUUUAUUUCUGAAAGGUAGACUAGGAACCCCAGAAUUCAAGUAAACUUCCUGUAUUGGUCUUUCAAUUUUGGUAUGAGCAAGAACGGGUGGUAGAUAAUCUGUGUAUUAUCAAUUAAGGAAUUAACGCCGAGCUAGAAGUUCUCGGUUAAAUCAAGACCGCUGAGAUAGACCAAAAAUGCACCUGCUGAGUGUUUGGGGUUGAGGUUUUCCUGGGCAGUCUUAAUCAGGCAACCAUACCAAGGACCACUACAUUCAAAACAAGGCUUAACAUAUUUUUCAUAACAUUGAUAUCCUGUGACGAAGGCCUUUUGAAAUUCUUAAGAUAUUUGAUGCAAAAUAACUUUAUCGGGGCCUGAAUGGGGUGUUCUAGAAGACACUGCACAUACAUGUACAUCAAUUUGGCUUUAGGUAGUAUGAAUUGCAUGUACAUGUAAGUGUAUGCAAAAUUUGCAGUUUUUCGGAACCAUGAAAUAAAAUGUCUCCAAUAUUUCUGGGUUUACUGUAGGAAGUGUCUUUGAUAGUUGCCUGUUUUAUCCAAGAGUGCAUAGCUGGUGUAUUUCCCAGGGUUUACGUGUAACUAAGAGCAGAAAUGAGGAGAACAUGUGAGUUGGGACCAAGGGCUCUCCCCAAAAAGGUAGAGGCCUGAUUUGAAAUGUUCUUGUGCCCUUAUUCGGCAGUGACAAUCACUCCAUGUACUAGCAUUGGGUUGCAAAUCUUAUGGUCAAAUCCAAGACGGCUCGGGGUUUUGUCAGCUGGUAUUUGGGGAGGGUGUUUCAUAUUGUUUUGAAAGUUUGGUCCAUAGUUCUCAUCAUUUUGUACAUAAUCAGAUAUGCUUAUUGUAAAAAAUGCACAAAGUGACUGUAUUUUGCUAUUAUUUCUCAUGAACGUGUACUCAAGAGGAUUCCUACAUGUACAUGUAUGAAGUAUGAGGUUGUGAUUAAUGUAUAAACUACAUUUUGGGGGUUAAAGUUUAACACAUCGUUUUUUACUGCGGACUCAGAUAUAAGGAAGAAAGUGAAAUUGACGCAAUUGAAAUGUGGUCUUCAAAGUUCUGACAUUUUCUGCAUCUUAUUCUUGGUGACUGUCACCGUCAGUCUUAUGAGAUAACUCUGAGUAUCUGUUACUUGUUUAGUAUUUAUAGGCAGUUGGUCGCACUUACUGGCUGCACUUGUAUAGUCACCAGGGUUACCAAGACCAAACUUUGUGUUAGUUUUGUUGUAUUGGUACUAGACUAAGACGAGAAAUAAAGAUAUUGACAUUAAUAUAAAA